AGAUUUGUGCCAGGCAAUUGCAGCAGAGAUCGGGCGGAGCUGAAACUUUAGGAAUUAGGCACAUCUCAUUAACUGAAAAAAAGAGUGGAAAGAUGUGUGUUUGAUCUGGUGAUGAGGUUUUCAAUCGGACGCAGCAGCCAGCAGGUAACUCCUUACUACAAAUUUAAUAUUUUGAUCGAAAUAUUUAAUACCGGUGAUUAGCUUAGUAGACGGGUUAUGUUCAUGUGUUAGAAAGACGAAUUGCUUUUGUAUUCUUCUUCUAGUUUGAUGAGUUUAAUUUGUUCUCAUCUGUCUGUAAUGUCUCCAGAGACCACCAGAGAUAUGUCUCCUGUGCUCGUUAAUAUAUAACUAUGCAAUUGCAUGUUUCUUGCCUCAAAUAUGAACCGUUUCAAACAAAUCAAAUUAAUCAGCAAGGUGAAGCUUAAGUUUGUUACUUUGGUUCGUUAUUGAUAGAAAUUUAUUAGAACAUAAC
rnacentral:lncRNA from 1 species